rnacentral:tRNA from 1 species
GACCCCUUGGUCAAGCGGUUAAGACAUCGCCCUUUCACGGCGGUAUCAGGGGUUCGAGUCCCCUAGGGGUCACCA